GUACACUCCUGCGGGAGGCAGCAGUGGGGAAUAUUGGACAAUGGGCGCAAGCCUGAUCCAGCCAUGCCGCGUGAGUGAUGAAGGCCCUAGGGUUGUAAAGCUCUUUCACCGGUGAAGAUAAUGACGGUAACCGGAGAAGAAGCCCCGGCUAACUUCGUGCCAGCAGCCGCGGUAAUACGAAGGGGGCUAGCGUUGUUCGGAUUUACUGGGCGUAAAGCGCACGUAGGCGGACUAUUAAGUCAGGGGUGAAAUCCCGCGGCUCAACCCCGGAACUGCCUUUGAUACUGGUAGUCUUGAGUUCGAGAGAGGUGAGUGGAAUUCCGAGUGUAGAGGUGAAAUUCGUAGAUAUUCGGAGGAACACCAGUGGCGAAGGCGGCUCACUGGCUCGAUACUGACGCUGAGGUGCGAAAGCGUGGGGAGCAAACAGGAUUAGAAACCCCAGUAGUCCC
rnacentral:rRNA from 1 species